rnacentral:rRNA from 1 species
AGGAUUAACGCUGGCGGCGUGCCUGACACAUGCAAGUCGAACGAGGCCGCAAGGCCGAGUGGCGGACGGGUGAGUAACACGUGACCAACCAACCUCGAAGUUGGGAAUAGCUCUGCGAAAGUAGUGGUAAUACCGAAUGUGGCCCAGGGCGGGCAUCCGCCUUGGUCUAAAGAUUCAUCGCUUCGAGACGGGGUCGCGGCCUAUUAGCUUGUUGGUGAGGUAACGGCUCACCAAGGCGAUGAUGGGUAGCUGGUCUGAGAGGACGACCAGCCACACUGGGACUGAGACACGGCCCAGACUCCUACGGGAGGCAGCAGUGAGGAAUCUUCCGCAAUGGGCGAAAGCCUGACGGAGCAACGCCGCGUGUGGGAUGAAGACUCUAGGGUUGUAAACCACUGUCGGAGGGGACGAUCGUGACGGUACCCUCCAAGAAAGCCCCGGCUAACUACGCGCCAGCAGCCGC